UUUUGUUUUUUACUUUCACUCACUUUCCCCAAAUACCAUCAACCCUAAUAUAACCACCCUAAAUGCUCAAUAGGUGCGGCCAGAUAAAAUCCAAAAAAAGUCUGCUUUCAAUUUCUUUCGUGAUGGUUGCUUGAUUAAGCUUGAAACCAUCCACUGGUAUGAUCGUUGAUUAGUGUUUUGAGUCGGGAAGUUCGAAUGGGGGUUGCUUAAUUAAGGAUGGAAGUUGCAGAAUAGCAAAAACAUGGCAUCACUUCUUGUCUUGAAGUCCUAUAGAAAGAAAGACAUUUCUUUGGUGUUGCAUUUAUAUUUUUAAUAAGGAAGGAAGGCGCAAAAUUUAUUGGAGAUGAUCUAUUGAGUGGUUAGUUCCUAACUGUUUUUUGGAAGAUCUUUUGUGGGUUCCUUAAUUCUGGAAUAAGGGCAUAAAUGGUUAGAGAUGAUGGCUGAGACAGGGAUAAAGUCAGGACGAGGACAAAUUUGUCUUGCUAUGCAUAAAAAAUAAGAUUGGAUCAUAUGUGACUGAGGGGGCAAGAGAAAUAUUUCUGGAUGAUGUUUACUUCACUUGUGGAAUAAGAGGAUCAUCGGAUGGCAGCAAUGAAAAUCACCAAGCAAAUACAUAGUGCUUUUUAUAUGUUUAUAAAUUUAUAAAUUGUAGAACCAUUUUAGAUUUGAUAAUGUUUAAGUUACAUUCUGUUUAAUAAAUUUUUUAAGUUACCUUACAUGAGUUUGUAUUAGCUUAGUUUGAUAAAGAUUUGAACUUCUUAUGCUUAGUAUUAUAGUUAUUUGUAAUGGAA